CGGCGGACGGGUGAGUAACGCGUGGGUAACCUGCCUCAUACAGGGGGAUAACAGUUGGAAACGGCUGCUAAUACCGCAUAAGCGCACAGUACCGCAUGGUACGGUGUGAAAAACUCCGGUGGUAUGAGAUGGACCCGCGUCUGAUUAGGUAGUUGGUGGGGUAACGGCCUACCAAGCCGACGAUCAGUAGUCGACCUGAGAGGGUGACCGGCCACAUUGGGACUGAGACACGGCCCAA
rnacentral:rRNA from 1 species